rnacentral:rRNA from 1 species
GGACAAGAAUAGGCUUCGGCUUUGCGUCUCAGCAGGCGAUUCGUCCACGGCCACGGAAGAGUGGUUUUGGUAUUUCGNGUAUUGUAAUUUCAACACGAGCGGGGUUAAAUCCUUUGCAGACGACUUAGCUGUGCGAAACGGUCCUGUAAGCAGUAGAGUAGCCUUGUUGUUACGAUCUGCUGAGGGUAAGCCGUCCUUCGCCCCGAUUUCCCAGUA